AGAUGAACCGAUUGAAUGGACCAUAAGAUUAUUGGCCCCCCUAAAAAGUUGGGAAACAAGUCCCAGGCUGUAGAGGAACGCGAGAGUUGCCGCCCCUCUGUUCAUGUGUCAACAAUCAUGGAGAGAAUGGGAAGGAUGACGUGUGUCUUGUUAACGCUCAGCAUUGUUUUUCUCGGGGCUUAUGCAGCCGAAAGCCAAGAGAAAAAGGGUGUUAUGAGUGCUAAAGUUGUGAGCUGCACCGGAUGACGACUGAACAAGUUGCCAGAGGUCAAGAGGUUCAUUACUCGGGAUCUCCCUCUGUUUCACAAUGUGGAGUUCAAGCAAAAGGCCGGGGCGUCUCCGGAACUGUUCCUCUUAGACGGAGAGGAGCAGACGGUUGAGAAAAUCGACUUGAGUGUGUUUAACCAGAGAGGUUGUAACGAUUUGUUGAAGCGUAAAGGAUUUUUUAAGAAAGAGCAUGUGGCCACCGUGGUGCCCGACGAGUUUUUGACCGGGCCCUACGUGGAGAGAGAGGAGGAAAAAGUGGCGGAAGUGAACGAUGAAGCUUCACAGACAAAGGAAGAACCGGAGAAAAUGUACGAAAAAGUGAAAUCUGAAUUGUAAUAUUGUCUGUUUGUGAAGGAAGAUACAAGGCUGCAUGGUUGUUUGUUUGUGUGUGCCUCCCUCAUCACUCUCAUGUGUGUUCUCUGACUCAAGUCUUACUGUGAAAGGUUUAGUGACUCAAGUCUUACUGUGAUAGGUUUAGUGACUCAAGUCUUACUGUGAUAGGUUUAGUGACUCAAGUCUUACUGUGAUAGGUUUAGUGACUCAAGUCUUACUGUGAUAGGUUUAGUGACUCAAGUCUUACUGUGAUAGGUUUAGUGAUUCAAGUCUUACUGUGGUAGGUUUAGUGACUCAAGUCUUACUGUGAUAGGUUUAGAAGUUCUCUUUCGUCUCAGAGAAAUUUGCUGGUAAUAUCAACACCAGGAUGUUGUAAUGAUAGGAGAGUCCACUGACAUAUCAACACCAGGAUGUUGUAAUGAUAGGAGAGUCCACUGACAUAUCAACACCAGGAUGUUGUAAUGAUAGGAGAUUCCACUGACAUAUCAACACCUGGAUGUUGUGGUAAAUGAUAGGAGAGUCCACUGACAUAUCAACACCAGGAUGUUGUGGUAAAUGAUAGGAGAGUCCACUGACAUAUCAACACCAGGAUGUUGUAAUGAUAGGAGAUUCCACUGACAUAUCAACACCAGGAUGUUGUGGUAAAUGAUAGGAGAGUCCACUGACAUAUCAACACCAGGAUGUUGUAAUGAUAGGAGAGUCCACUGACAUAUCAACACCAGGAUGUUGUGGUAAAUGAUAGGAGAGUCCACUGACAUAUCAACACCAGGAUGUUGUAAUGAUAGGAGAGUCCACUGACAUUUGGACUUUGCGAAAGAAUCCUGAUUGUGUUUUACGGCGCUACGAAAACUUUUCUCAGACUCAAAAAUUGUUUUGAAACUGGUCUGCUCAGCUCAGCAUUUUGCCACUGUGAAUUAUAUACGUAUGGUCUUGUUGCUUUGGGAAUUUGUUUGCCAAUAUAUAUAGAAAAUAGUACAUAUAUAUAUAUAUUAUAUAUACGUGACUGUCUUGUUGAGAUGUAAGAGUUUUCUUGAAAAGUUCAGAUGUAAGUAUGACAAAAUAAGAAUGAAGGAACAUUUUAUACAAACUUGGUAAGACUGGAAUUUUAUUUUUAAAAGUUAAGAUUUAAGGCGGAGGACAGUCCUGGACAGUCAGUUAAUCAUUAAUGAGUUUGCUGGAGAAAUGUUUCAUAAUUUUUGUGCAAGUUAUUUUCUAGUCUCAGGUAAUUAUUUUUAUUUUUCACUUCCUUGUCUGUUGAUGAAAAAGCUACCAUGACAAUUUGCGUGAUAUUUUUGUGCUUUUUCAGUUGUAAUGAUUUUGAUCUGUGCAUCAUGUAUGGAUUGUAAGGUGGGAGGAUUGUAUGAAAGUGUUUAUUUCCUAGUGCAGAUGAAUGGAGACAGAUUUGAUACCAGUGAGAUAGCCUUGCCUCAGUUUGGGAAGUCGUAAACUGAUUGUGACUUUUGUGACUUAGUCUUGUGUUGUUUGGAGCCGAGAACUUGUCCAGAUUCUGGGACAUCAGUUGUCUGGGACCAGAGGCUAAUGACGCCGACAGUCGAAACAUGUGGCUGUCAGCUGACCCUCUCUCUGGUGGGCCGUUGAUGUUUCAAACGAUCACGACACAGUUUGAAGGUUUCCAUGAUGGUUCAGUCUUUUUGUCUUUCCAGAAUGUCAUAAAUUAAAAUUUUUUAUUUAUAUAUAUAUAUAAUAUAUGUAUGGUUUACAUGUGCACAACUUUCAGUAGUCCCUCUUUGUGAGAGCACAGUUCUUUUGUUUAGGGGGUCGUUUAUUGAAGCAUCGGUACUUACUUAUACUUGGUAUAUAUAUAUCCCUUUUAUUUAAGUGAUGUGAUCUUUAAUGUCUGAAAUUCCUGAAAAGAAAACAGAAAUAUGCCCUGUAGCUCUGGUACAUUUUUUGUAGGAGUGCUUUAGAAAGUUUGAUGAAGAUCGGAAAGUUCUGGAGCUUACAAGAAUAGCUGAAUAAAUCAAGUCCAUUUUGUUUUGAAUGUGACCUCAUCUUGAAAUAACUUCAUAAGACUCGAAAUACAAGUAUUAUUUGUAUUACA